rnacentral:rRNA from 1 species
ACGCCUAAUACAUGCAAGUCGAACGAAGUAGCAAUACUUAGUGGCAGACGGGUGAGUAACAUGUGGGUAUCUUCCCUUUGGUGAGGAAUAACACGAGGAAACUUGUGCUAAUACCUCAUAAGUCUUUACGGAGAAAGCUUUAUGCGCCAUUGGAUGAGCCCGCACUUGAUUAGUUUGUUGGUGGGGUAAUGGCCUACCAAGACUUUGAUCAAUAGCUGAUUUGAGAGGAUGAUCAGCCACAUUGGGACUGAGACACGGCCCAAACUCCUACGGGAGGCAGCAGUAGGGAAUCUUGCACAAUGGAGGAAACUCUGAUGCAGCGAUGCCGCGUGAGUGAAGAAGGCCUUUGGGUUGUAAAGCUCUUUCGUCGGGGAAGAAAAUGACUGUACCCGAAUAAGAAGGUCCGGCUAACUUCGUGCCAGCAGCCGCGGUAAUACGAAGGGACCUAGCGUAGUUCGGAAUUACUGGGCUUAAAGAGUUCGUAGGUGGUUAAAAAAGUUGGUGGUGAAAGCCCAGAGCUUAACUCUGGAACUGCCAUCAAAACUUUUUAGCUAGAGUGUGAUAGAGGAAAGCAGAAUUUCUAGUGUAGAGGUGAAAUUCGUAGAUAUUAGAAAGAAUACCAAUUGCGAAGGCAGCUUUCUGGAUCAUUACUGACACUGAGGAACGAAAGCAUGGGUAGCGAAGAGGAUUAGAUACCCUCGUAGUCCAUGCCGUAAACGAUGUGUGUUAGAUGUUGGAAAUUUAUUUUCAGUAUCGCAGCGAAAGCGAUAAACACACCGCCUGGGGAGUACG